GACUCGGGCCCCCGGCAGAGGGCGCGGGGCGCGGAGGGGUGGGGCGCCGGCCCCGGGCCUGACCCGCUCCAGCCUGGACCCCCCUCUGCACCGCGGGUUUCGGGGCGUCGCGCAGGAGAGAGGAGGCGCCAGGCUGCCGACGGCACGAGAGGACCUGCCCGGAGCGGGGCGGACCCCACCAGACCCUGGACGCCGAGAGACAUGGACUCAGGGUUCCAGGCACUCGGGCCUCACUGGUGCUCCUUGGACGUGCCCUGACGGGGACCGAACCCACUGUCGUCCCAUCAGGACGACUAACCGACGACGGAGCUGCCCGGCCAGGGCUCUCGGUCCGAACGCCGAUUAAGCAGAACCCUGCGCGACGCUCUGGUCACUUAUCAGGUCCUCUCGUGGGAGCUUGGUCCUCCAGGCACGCUUGCCUCGGGCACACGGAGCGAGAAGCCGGAAGAGCCACCUGUCCCCGGCGGGACCCUGGCUAGAUGCGAGGAAACUGACCAACCGUCCCCGCGGCCCGGGAAGGUCCCGGCACCAGCACUGGAAAUCCGGGUGGGACUUGGACAGCCCCAGGCCCCACAGACCUAAUGGCCGGCUGCCCUGAACACACGGCACAGACAUGCCAGGGAGGGCGAGGGAGACAGGAGAAGGGGCACACGUGGAGGGCGCCCCUCAGGGAGGGAGGGAGACCACACACCCUCGGGGCCGGUGGCAGGGAGCCAGUCGCAGCUGCU